GCGACUAUUAUUCAAAUCUUAUUCAAACCGCAAGUCAGAAAGCAGACGUUUCGAUUCCAAGAAUCCUUCUUUUCCUUCAAUUUCACAUAAUCACAUUUCACAAAGGCCAUCAAAGACUCGUGCUUUUUAUGCCUUUAUGUCAUAAUCGCACUUAACAACUUUUCCCCGGAGACCUCUUCAGCUCAUAGUUCCUCAAAUCUCUGAAAUUGGGUUUCAAUUUCUUGCACACAGCUAGCUAAUCAUCGCGAGUUUGAAGCGCCUGCAAGGAAAAAAUUCAAGUUGUGUAUCCGAAGGUAAAGGUGAGGGAUCAGCAGGAAGAGGAUGAUCAGUAUGUUUAUGGAUUGGGUUCUUUGCAAUCCUUAAAAGCUUUUGAUGCCAUCUCCAUCUCUGACUUGUCUUCUCCAGAUGAUUCUCCAACAUCGGUUGUAAGGAUUCCCAGGUCAUAUAUCUCAAAUUCACCCAAACCUGCAAGUCCCGUCUCCACAGGAGCAACGAAUAACACGAGCCAAAAAACUUCGAGUGAAGGGACAACUAAACCCAGAUCUAGUUCAGUCCCGAGACCACGAGCAGUCUUGUCUAGUCCAGAUAAUGAUCAAAGGAUAGGAGUUAGUAACAAGCCGAGAGCUAAAUUGCUUCCUGGAUUGAAAAGUCAGAACACGUGCCAAAGUAGACAUACACAGUGCAAAAUUAUUCCCAGAAUGGCGAAAGCUGAAAGCCAUUUAAACGCUAAAGAGUUCAAAGAUUCAGAUCAAAGCAAAAUAAUUCCUAGAAUGACCAAAGGUGAAAGCCGCCCUAUAAACGCUAAAGAGUUCAAAGAUUCAGUUCAUGGUGAGACUGGCCUUCCGGUUAAAGGAAGGUUAGCGAGAACUGAACUGAAUCUGAAGACACAUAUCAGAAAAGGGCCAGCAUCUGUUAGAAGCAAAGCACUCGGUAAUUCCACAGUGGCAGAGUAAAUUAUAUUUUUGAUUGAACCGCUCUUGCCAGCUGGAGUUCGUUUACACGGAUACGAUAUUCAAACUAAUAGAUAGAUUUGUAGAACUCGGAGCUCAUCUCCCUCUUGCAUCGAGCAUGUUGCCAGGAUCUUUUUUCUGUAAUCUAACCGCUAACGCUUCUACUUGUUUCAGAACAAGUUAAACUGUCUGAGUAAGCUAAAGUUAGAGCAGCUUCUUGUUCUUGUUUCUUGGUUUUGUUAGCAUUUGUUGCAUCAACCUCUGUGUUGAUCCAUUGUAGCUCUGAAGUUUUAUAUGAUGAUUUGAUGAGUGCCAGUUUUCCACUUUUUCUUCUCA